UGCCUAGAAUGUCUCCAGUAUCUCCCGCUC
rnacentral:piRNA from 1 species